GUUCGGAUUGCAGGCUGCAACUCGCCUGCAUGAAGCCGGAAUCGCUAGUAAUCGCGGAUCAGCACGCCGCGGUGAAUACGUUCCCGGGCCUUGUACACACCGCCCGUCACACCACGAGAGUUUGUAACACCCGAAGUCGGUGAGGUAACCUUUUGGAGCCAGCCGCCUAAGGUGGGAUAGAUGAUUGGGGUGAAGUCGUAACAAGGUAGCCGUAUCGGAAGGUGCGGCUGGAUCACCUCCUUU
rnacentral:rRNA from 1 species